ANNNUANNCNAUGCANNNNUNNGNNNAGCAUUAUACAGCGAAACUGCGAAUGGCUCAUUAUAUAAGUUAUCGUUUAUUUGAUAGUACCUUACUACUUGGAUAACCGUGGUAAUUCUAGAGCUAAUACAUGCUAAAAAUCCCGACUUCGGAAGGGAUGUAUUUAUUAGAUUAAAAACCAAUGCCCUUCGGGGCUCCUUGGUGAUUCAUGAUAACUUCUCGAAUCGCAUGGCCUUGUGCCGGCGAUGGUUCAUUCAAAUUUCUUCCCUAUCAACUUUCGAUGUUUGGGUAUUGGCCAAACAUGGUUGCAACGGGUAACGGAGGGUUAGGGCUCGACCCCGGAGAAGGAGCCUGAGAAACGGCUACUACAUCCAAGGAAGGCAGCAGGCGCGCAAAUUACCCAAUCCCGACACGGGGAGGUAGUGACAAUAAAUACUGAUACAGGGCUCUUUAGGGUCUUGUAAUUGGAAUGAGUACAAUUUAAAUCUCUUAACGAGGAACAAUUGGAGGGCAAGUCUGGUGCCAGCAGCCGCGGUAAUUCCAGCUCCAAUAGCGUAUAUUAAAGUUGUUGUGGUUAAAAAGCUCGUAGUUGAACCUUGGGCCUGGCUGGCCGGUCCGCCUCACCGCGUGUACUGGUCCGGCCGGGCCUUUCCCUCUGUGGAACCCCAUGCCCUUCACUGGGUGUGGCGGGGAAACAGGACUUUUACUUUGAAAAAAUUAGAGUGCUCCAGGCAGGCCUAUGCUCGAAUACAUUAGCAUGGAAUAAUAGAAUAGGACGUGUGGUUCUAUUUUGUUGGUUUCUAGGACCGCCGUAAUGAUUAAUAGGGACAGUCGGGGGCAUCAGUAUUCAAUUGUCAGAGGUGAAAUUCUUGGAUUUAUUGAAGACUAACUACUGCGAAAGCAUUUGCCAAGGAUGUUUUCAUUAAUCAGGAACGAAAGUUAGGGGAUCGAAGACGAUCAGAUACCGUCGUAGUCUUAACCAUAAACUAUGCCGACUAGGGAUCGGACGGUGUUAUUUUUUGACCCGUUCGGCACCUUACGAGAAAUCAAAGUGCUGNCUCCAGGGGNNNNNNNGNNNNNNNNNNGAA
rnacentral:rRNA from 1 species